rnacentral:rRNA from 1 species
UGCAGAGCUAGGGAGUGGGAGAGGUAGACGGUACUCGGGAGGAAGUGGUAAAAUGCUUUGAUCUCUCGAUGACCACCUGUGGCGAAGGCGGUCUACCAGAACACGUCCGACGGUGAGGGAUGAAAGCUGGGGGAGCAAACCGGAUUAGAUACCCGGGUAGUCCCAGCUGUAAACUAUGCAAACUCAGUGAUGCAUUGGCUUGUGGCCAAUGCAGUGUUGCAGGGAAGCCGUUAAGUUUGCCGCCUGGGAAGUACGUACGCAAGUAUGAAACUUAAAGGAAUUGGCGGGGGAGCACCACAAGGGGUGAAGCCUGCGGUUCAAUUGGAGUCAACGCCAGAAAUCUUACCCGGAGAGACAGCAGAAUGAAGGUCAAGCUGAAGACUUUACCAGACAAGCUGAGAGGUGGUGCAUGGCCGCCGCCAGCUCGUGCCGUGAG